rnacentral:rRNA from 1 species
UACGUAGGGCGCAAGCGUUUGUCCGGAAUUAUUGGGCGUAAAGAGCUCGUAGGCGGCCUGUUGCGUCCGCUGUGAAAUCCCGGGGCUCAACCCCGGGCGUGCAGUGGAUACGGGCUGGCUGGAGGCAGGCAGGGGAGAACGGAAUUCCUGGUGUAGCGGUGAAAUGCGCAGAUAUCAGGAGGAACACCGGUGGCGAAGGCGGGUCUCUGGGCCGAUACUGACGCUGAGGAGCGAAAGCGUGGGGAGCGAACAGG